UCCGUAGGUGAACCUGCGGAGGGAUCAUUACACAAAUAUGAAGGCGGGCUGGAACCUCUCGGGGUUACAGCCUUGCUGAAUUAUUCACCCUUGUCUUUUGCGUACUUCUUGUUUCCUUGGUGGGUUCGCCCACCACUAGGACAAACAUAAACCUUUUGUAAUUGCAAUCAGCGUCAGUAACAAAUUAAUAAUUACAACUUUCAACAACGGAUCUCUUGGUUCUGGCAUCGAUGAAGAACGCAGCGAAAUGCGAUAAGUAGUGUGAAUUGCAGAAUUCAGUGAAUCAUCGAAUCUUUGAACGCACAUUGCGCCCUUUGGUAUUCCAAAGGGCAUGCCUGUUCGAGCGUCAUUUGUACCCUCAAGCUUUGCUUGGUGUUGGGCGUCUUGUCUCUAGCUUCGCUGGAGACUCGCCUUAAAGUAAUUGGCAGCCGGCCUACUGGUUUCGGAGCGCAGCACAAGUCGCACUCUCUAUCAGCAAAGGUCUAGCAUCCAUUAAGCCUUUUUUUCAACUUUUGACCUCGGAUCAGGUAGGGAUACCCGCUGAACUUA
rnacentral:sRNA from 1 species